rnacentral:lncRNA from 1 species
UAACAAGUGCUUUAAUUAAUCGUGUGCACACACUUAGAGUAGUGAGGGAUAGUAUAAACAUGGUGUUUAUACUAUAUCUUUCCUGUGGUUGUUGUUUGUCGCACAAAUUGUUCAUGGAUGCUAGUAUGUAUCAUAGCCUUAUCUAGACUUUUGUCGCACGAAUUUGUCACACUUUCUAUGGCUCCUUGGGUGAAGACUGCGGGCAUCUAUUUUUCAAAUGCAACUUGGCCAAGCAAGUUUGGCGCUUACUGAAUUGGG